rnacentral:rRNA from 1 species
GGUAUUAGCUUGCUAAUACUGUCAGCUAAGUGGCGCACGGGUGAGUAAUAUAUAGGUAACGUGCCUUCGAGAAGGGGAUAACAAUUGGAAACGAUUGCUAAUACCCUAUAUGCCUUUAAGUCCUAAGACCGCAAGGGAAAUAUUUAUAGCUCGAAGAUCGGCCUGUACAGUAUCAGUUAGUUGGUGAGGUAAUGGCUCACCAAGACAAUGACGCUUAACUGGUUUGAGAGGAUGAUCAGUCACACUGGAACUGAGACACGGUCCAGACUCCUACGGGAGGCAGCAGUGGGGAAUAUUGCACAAUGGAGGAAACUCUGAUGCAGCAACGCCGCGUGGAGGAUGACACAUUUCGGUGCGUAAACUCCUUUUAUAUAGGAAGAUAAUGACGGUACUAUAUGAAUAAGCACCGGCUAACUCCGUGCCAGCAGCCGCGGUAAUACGGAGGGUGCAAGCGUUACUCGGAAUCACUGGGCGUAAAGAGCGUGUAGGCGGAUAGUUAAGUUUGAAGUGAAAUCCUAUGGCUCAACCAUAGAACUGCUUUGAAAACUGAUUAUCUAGAAUAUGGGAGAGGUAGAUGGAAUUUCUGGUGUAGGGGUAAAAUCCGUAGAGAUCAGAAGGAAUACCGAUUGCGAAGGCGAUCUACUGGAACAUUAUUGACGCUGAGACGCGAAAGCGUGGGGAGCAAACAGGAUUAGAUACCCUGGUAGUCCACGCCCUAAACGAUGUACACUAGUUGUUGUGAGGCUAGACCUUGCAGUAAUGCAGUUAACACAUUAAGUGUACCGCCUGGGGAGUACGGUCGCAAGAUUAAAACUCAAAGGAAUAGACGGGGACCCGCACAAGCGGUGGAGCAUGGUGGUUUAAUUCGACGAUACGCGAAGAACCUUACCUGGACUUGACAUAGUAAGAACUUUCUAGAGAUUAGAUUGGUGUCUGCUUGCAGAAACUUAUAUACAGGUGCUGCACGGCUGUCGUCAGCUCGUGU